rnacentral:rRNA from 1 species
CCUACGGGGGGCAGCAGUGGGGAAUAUUGCGCAAUGGGCGAAAGCCUGACGCAGCGAUGCCGCGUGAGGGAUGAAGGUCUUCGGAUCGUAAACCUCUUUCAGCAGGGAAGAACGGUCACUGUGCUAAUCAGCAGUGAAUUGACGGUACCUGCAAAGGAAGCACCGGCUAACUCCGUGCCAGCAGCCGCGGUAAUACGGAGGGUGCGAGCGUUAAUCGGAAUUACUGGGCGUAAAGCGCUCGUAGGCGGUAUGUCAAGUCAAGGGUGAAAUCCCCGCGCUCAACGUGGGAACUGCCUUUGAAACUGGCAAACUGGAGUGUGUGAGAGGAUAGUGGAAUUCCAGGUGUAGGGGUGAAAUGCGUAGAGAUCUGGAGGAACAUCAGUGGCGAAGGCGACUAUCUGGCACAUAACUGACGCUGAGGAGCGAAAGCGUGGGUAGCAAACAGGAUUAGAUACCCGAGUAGUC